rnacentral:rRNA from 1 species
ACGACGCUGGCGGCGUGCCUAAUACAUGCAAGUCGAACGGUCUUUCUAUGGAAGCUUGCUUCCACUGAGAAGAUAGUGGCGAACGGGUGAGUAACACGUGGGUAACCUGCCCAUAAGAGGGGGAUAACAUCCGGAAACGGGUGCUAAUACCGCAUAGUUUCUUGAUCGCAUGAUUGGGAAAGGAAAGACGGCCUUUGUGCUGUCGCUUAUGGAUGGACCCGCGGCGUAUUAGUUAGUUGGUGAGGUAACGGCUCACCAAGACGAUGAUACGUAGCCGACCUGAGAGGGUGAUCGGCCACAUUGGGACUGAGACACGGCCCAAACUCCUACGGGAGGCAGCAGUAGGGAAUCUUCCGCAAUGGACGAAAGUCUGACGGAGCAACGCCGCGUGAGUGAAGAAAGGUUUUCGGAUCGUAAAACUCUGUUGUCAGAGAAGAACAAGUUGGAGAGUAACUGCUCCAGCCUUGACGGUAUCUGACCAGAAAGCCACGGCUAACUACGUGCCAGCCGCUGC